UAGGGAAUCUUCCACAAUGGACGAAAGUCUGAUGGAGCAACGCGCGUGAGUGAAGAAGGGUUUCGGCUCGUAAAACUCUGUUGUUAAAGAAGAACAUAUCUGAGAGUAACUGUUCAGGUAUUGACGGUAUUUAACCAGAAAGCCACGGCUAACUACGUGCCAC
rnacentral:rRNA from 1 species